AGUGAACGCUGGCGGCGUGCUUAAUACAUGCAAGUCGAACGAUGAAGUCCUAGCUUGCUAGGAUGGAUUAGUGGCGCACGGGUGAGUAAUAUAUAGUUAAUCUGCCUUGCACUGAGGAACAACAGUUGGAAACGAUUGCUAAUACCUCAUACUCCAACUUUACAUAAGUUAAGUUGGGAAAGUCUUCUCGGUGCAAGAUGAGACUAUAUCGUAUCAGCUAGUUGGUAAGGUAAUGGCUUACCAAGGCUAUGACGCGUAACUGGUCUGAGAGGAUGAUCAGUCACAUUGGAACUGAGACACGGUCCAAACUCCUACGGGAGGCAGCAGUAAGGAAUAUUGUGCAAUGGGGGAAACCCUGACGCAGCAACGCCGCGUGGAGGAUGACACUUUUCGGAGCGUAAACUCCUUUUGUUAGGGAAGAAUAAUGACGGUACCUAACGAAUAAGCACCGGCUAACUCCGUG
rnacentral:rRNA from 1 species